rnacentral:rRNA from 1 species
ACCGCCUGGGGAGUACGGCCGCAAGGUUAAAACUCAAAUGAAUUGACGGGGGCCCGCACAAGCGGUGGAGCAUGUGGUUUAAUUCGACGCAACGCGAAGAACCUUACCUGGCCUUGACAUGCAGAGAACUUUCCAGAGAUGGAUUGGUGCCUUCGGGAACUCUGACACAGGUGCUGCAUGGCCGUCGUCAGCUCGUGUCGUGAGAUGUUGGGUUAAGUCCCGUAACGAGCGCAACCCCUAUCCCUAGUUGCUAGCAGUUCGGCUGAGAACUCUAGGGAGACUGCCGGUGACAAACCGGAGGAAGGUGGGGAUGACGUCAGGUCAUCAUGGCCCUUACGGCCAGGGCUACACACGUGCUACAAUGGUGCGUACAGAGGGCUGCAAACCCGCGAGGGGGAGCUAAUCUCACAAAACGCAUCGUAGUCCGGAUCGGAGUCUGCAACUCGACUCCGUGAAGUCGGAAUCGCUAGUAAUCGCGAAUCAGAAUGUCGCGGUGAAUACGUUCCCGGGCCUUGUACACACCGCCCGUCACACCAUGGGAGUGGAUUGCACCAGAAGUGGUUAGUCUAACCUUCGGGAGGA